GCGCCCUACGGGACGCAGCAGUGGGGAAUAUUGCACAAUGGGGGAAACCCUGAUGCAGCGACGCCGCGUGAGUGAAGAAGUAUUUCGGUAUGUAAAGCCCUAUCGGCAGGGAAGAAACAGACGGUACCUGACUAAGAAGCCCCGGCCAACUACGUGCCAGCAGCCGCGGGAAUACGUAGGGGGCAAGCGUUAUCCGGAUUCACUGGGGGGAAAGGGAGCGGAGACGGCGACGCAAGUCUGGAGUGAAAGCCCGGGGCCCAACCCCGGGGCUGCGCUGGAAACUGCGGGGCUGGAGGACGGGAGGG
rnacentral:rRNA from 1 species